UACUUUUUGUGGCUUUUCAAUAAAUGCAUCAUCGAUAAUUUUGCGAAAAAAAAUCAGGAUGUAGUAGCUGUUUAUAAAAAUUUUCUAUAGAUGGUGUCUCACGAGCAAAUGCAUAUAUUCUAAGGGGACAUUGCUUAAGUAAAAUGACAUCUAUAACGCAGGGCAAAAUAACACAGAAUUGCAGAAUACUAUUCAAUGAAAAUGACGAUUUUUUCCAGGAUUGUGUCACAGAGAAAUUAUACCCUCUCUGCAUCUGUCAAGUUAGAACAGACAAGGUCUUCAAACUAAAAACGAUCGUUAUUUUGUGACUGCCAUUUUGAAUUUCGACAUUUUCUCAAAAAUGGCCAUCGUUUAUUCGAAAGCUCUGGAAUAUACGAACAUUUUGAGACCUUAGACGUAUGUUUUCCUUGCUUUUAUUUUUGGAGAGCACUGUGACCCGGUUGACAAGAAACAUCCCCUAUAUA